UACGGAGGGGGCUAGCGUUGUUCGGAAUUACUGGGCGUAAAGGGCGCGUAGGUGGCCUGUUAAGUCGAACGUGAAAUCCCCGGGCUCAACCCGGGAACUGCGUCCGAGACUGGCAGGCUCGAAUCCGGGAGAGGGAUGUGGAAUUCCAGGUGUAGCGGUGAAAUGCGUAGAUAUCUGGAGGAACACCGGUGGCGAAGGCGGCAUCCUGGACCGGUAUUGACGCUGAGGCGCGAAAGCCAGGGGAGCAAACGGG
rnacentral:rRNA from 1 species